rnacentral:rRNA from 1 species
UACGUAGGGUGCGAGCGUUGUUCGGAAUUAUUGGGCGUAAAGAGCUCGUAGGCGGUCUGUCGCGUCGGUCGUGAAAACUUGGGGCUUAACCCUGAGCUUGCGGUCGAUACGGGCAUGACUGGAGUUCGGCAGGGGAGACUGGAAUUCCUGGUGUAGCGGUGAAAUGCGCAGAUAUCAGGAGGAACACCGGUGGCGAAGGCGGGUCUCUGGGCCGAUACUGACGCUGAGGAGCGAAAGCGUGGGGAGCGAACAGG